UAUCAUCGAACCUGUGAGGAAUUUUAGGUCAACUCCAUAAACUGCAGGGAAAUAGACUGCUCAGGAACCAGGAGGAACCUGUGAGACAACCCUAUAAGGAAAUAAACUUCUCAGGAACCAGGAGGAAACUCUGACCGGGGAGCAAGUCGACUGGCGAUUGGCGGGGAAACCAACGCGAUCUACUGGGGAGAUCAACCAUUUUUGCUGAAGGAAACCAACCUCCACUGGGAAGGCAGAAACU
rnacentral:lncRNA from 1 species